AAGUCUAACACGAAAAUGGGGGGUUUUGAAAAGUGUUUUUGUGAAUACGAAUAACUAAAUUAAAAUGAAUGGACAUUAAACUAAACUGUGUAAGUUAGAAAACAUCAAGGUAAAAUAAAGUGCUAAACCCAACAUUUCAACAAACAAUUAUCUAAACACAAUUAAAACUAUUAAAAGGAAACACUAAAUUAGAGGAAUCAAAUGCAACUAAUCCUUGCAAAUGAAUGCAAAACAAAGGGAUAAUUAAACAUGCUUUUUCAUCUAUCAAUUAUGUGGCCAAUAUUCAUCUACCAAAUGAAAUUAAAAGUGUAAUUAGCUUG
rnacentral:lncRNA from 1 species